AUGCGAGGGCUGCAGGGCAACUACGUAGCCUCUGCCUGGUUGUGCAACAAGGAACAAAUACUGUACCAAAGCAUUGCACACAUGUGGGAGAGACUGCAGAUACGAAAACAAGGCGGAGAUGUGCGGAGAGAAGGAAAAUUAAUUUAUGGAACAGGAAUGCUGCAGGCAUCUGAUAGCCGAUGGAAUCCAGGUCCAAGCCCUGGCUCUCUUCUGCAGGAUGCCCAGUCUCCAAUGACUGCAGUAAAAAUCGAGGUGCAACGUCUGCUCUCCAGAUCACAACAUGAUAAGGGAGCAGAAGGAGAGCUGCGCAGUCACAACAGCUGCAUCUAGCUCUGAACAUUGCCUAGCUCUGGCGACCUGCCCCGUGUGUAGUCACUGUUGCCAGCCGGGAACGGGAAUGAAGGAGUAGGCAUACACUCUGAAGGAAAGUGAAGACUCACUCCUGCUCUGGCUUGGCUGUGCAAACGUCAUGGCAGAGGUGAGUUGUGAAAAUGUAGCUGUAGCUCUCCGAUUUUAUCAGACUCAUUAGUCUUCAGCGUACCAGAUUGCCCUAGGCACUGUGAGAGCUAAAAUCCAAAUCACGAAAGUGAACAGUUUGGUUGAUUUUUGCAAUGCUAAUCUUAAACUAUUCCUAAAUAAUGUGUCUCUGCUCCUCUCUCUGUAAAAAUGGACAUUGUGAUACCCAUUUCACAGGGGUACAAGACAACCAAAUUAAGUGAUAUUUGUAGAGCUCUAGACAUCCAAGAGCAAAUGGAGCAAGAGAGAAGAAAAGGUUAUUAUCUUGUCAUGUUUGGCCCGAGAGGAAGAUUAUCCAUCUAUCUUGCCAGACCUAUUUAUUGUCUUAUUUUUUCCCAUCUGAUCUUCUAUCAUCUUUCUAAUCUACUCCAUCUAAUCCAGCCAACAUUUUAUUUUAGCACAGUUCUCACUACGUGUUGAUGAAGGUGUUUGGCAACAGAGGUGUGUGCAUCUUUUACAUAACCUGACAAAGUGCAAUGCAGGUAGGUAGAACAAUAGAUGCUGAUUAAUAAAUUCUCAACUUUUAAAAAUAAAUUAGCUGAU
rnacentral:lncRNA from 1 species